UACGAAGGGGGCUAGCGUUGUUCGGAAUUACUGGGCGUAAAGGGCGCGUAGGCGGAUACUUAAGUCGGGGGUGAAAGCCCGGGGCUCAACCUCGGAAUUGCCUUCGAUACUGGGUAUCUUGAGUUCGGGAGAGGUGAGUGGAAUGCCGAGUGUAGAGGUGAAAUUCGUAGAUAUUCGGCGGAACACCAGUGGCGAAGGCGACUCACUGGCCCGAUACUGACGCUGAUGCGCGAAAGCGUGGGGAGCAAACAGG
rnacentral:rRNA from 1 species